CAAAAUCCCUCCUGCAGUGUGUGUAACAUAGAUGAAAUGAUCUACGUUUAAAAAUAGGAAAAGCCUAUAAAAAUCUGAAUGAGUGAUUUUAUUUUUGAAAUGCAACUUGAGAUUAUCUAAGGAUUUUGAAGGGUUAAAAUUCAGUUACCAGGGCAAAAUGGACCGACAGGUUAAUUUGGCCAAUCAGCUGACAGCAGGUAGGCCCGCCCACCUGCUCCCGCGUCUCUGGGAGCGAGCGAAAGUUUUUUUCCCCCGCUGCUGUGUAUGUGUGGAGAGACAGAAGUGCUACGCUGCUGUAGAGGAUGAACACUGUGAAAACCGGAGAAACCUGGAGAAAAUACAGCUAAAAAAAAACGAACUACACUGAGGCUAACUUCAACACUACAAACGUGUUAGCUAACUGCUGUAAGAAUUUAGUUGUAAGUUCAGUGUUUAGAUAUAGCGCUUGAGACGACUACUAGCAGCGUCGGUAGCUUUGAUGUCCGUAGGAUUUCCCGCGACGCACAGUCUUUGCUGAUUCAAGAGCGAGAAGACCUUGUGACUUUACUGGGCGCCGCCAUUUUGGGUGUGUGUCCAGCCGCUCUGGUGAAAUCGGUGAGAAUGUUCAUUUUCAACUUAAGAAUUUCACUUACUUUGUACCUUAAAUUAUUUAUGUGCACUUAGUGAAUAUGAAGCUACAAUUUUAGUUGAACAAGCUGGUUUACUGUGUUGUUUAAUGUGUAAACUCAGCUUACUUUAUUUUGCACUUGCAUCAAAACUUUAAUUGUUCUAACAUGCAGCUUAUCUGGUUGUGUGCAGCCAAGUUAUUUAUGUUUAUAUGCUGAAUUUUGAGAGAGAGGCACAGAAAGUAAACACCCACAGUAUGUAUAUCAUUGUGUAUUGUGAAUUUCAUGUAGUGUAUAUUAUUGCAUGAGACUUAAGCAGUGAAUAUUUCUCUGACCCUGUCUGUUGACAGGUCAGGUUUUUUUUUUUUUUUUUUUUGUGUGCGCGCGUGUUUCUUCUUCCAUUGUCUGGAUUGGAUCUGCGGAUGAAAACUGAUGGCGAGCCGUCCCUCUUGAAUGAUUGUGGGAGCCAUUCCCUCUUCAGGAUCACUGGACCUGUCCCGCUACUACUGCACUUUGCGAUCAAUCGAUAGUCUGGACUCUGGAGGUGGCUGACGUAUUGCGGUAAGCGUGUCGACUCAUUUCCGUUUCCGGUGCUUGUG